rnacentral:rRNA from 1 species
CCUACGGGAGGCAGCAGUGAGGAAUAUUGGUCAAUGGCCGGAAGGCUGAACCAGCCAUGCCGCGUGAAGGUCAGUGCCCUAUGGGCGUUAAACUUCUUUUGUGCGGGAGCAAUAAUGGUCACGUGUGGCCAGACGAGAGUACCGUACGAAUAAGCAUCGGCUAACUCCGUGCCAGCAGCCGCGGUAAUACGGGGGAUGCAAGCGUUAUCCGGAGUUAUUGGGUUUAAAGGGUGCGUAGGCUGUGAGGUAAGUCAGCGGUGAAAUGCCCCCGCUCAACGGGGUGAAGUGCCAUUGAUACUGCCUUGCUGGAAUGCGGAUGCCGUGGGAGGAAUGUGUGGUGUAGCGGUGAAAUGCAUAGAUAUCACACAGAACACCGAUUGCGAAGGCAGCUCACGAAUCCGCGAUUGACGCUGAUGCACGAAAGCGUGGGUAUCAAACAGGAUUAGAUACCCCAGUAGUC